GAUGAACGCUGGCGGCGUGCCUAAUACAUGCGAGUCGAGCGAACAGACGAGGAGCUUGCUCCUUUGACGUUAGCGGCGGACGGAUGAGUAACACGUAGGUAACCUACCUAUAAGACUGGGAUAACUUCGGGAAACCGGAGCUAAUACCGGAUAAUAUUUCGAACCGCAUGGUUCGAUAGUGAAAGAUGGCUUUGCUAUCACUUAUAGAUGGACCUGCGCCGUAUUAGCUAGUUGGUAAGGUAACGGCUUACCAAGGCAACGAUACGUAGCCGACCUGAGAGGGUGAUCGGCCACACUGGAACUGAGACACGGUCCAGACUCCUACGGGAGGCAGCAGUAGGGAAUCUUCCGCAAUGGGCGAAAGCCUGACGGAGCAACGCCGCGUGAGUGAUGAAGGUCUUCGGAUCGUAAAACUCUGUUAUUAGGGAAGAACAAACGUGUAAGUAACUGUGCACGUCUUGACGGUACCUAAUCAGAAAGCCACGGCUAACUACGUG
rnacentral:rRNA from 1 species